rnacentral:rRNA from 1 species
UCGGGAUCGCUGGUUGACGAAUGCCGUCGAAUAAUUUUAGGGACCCCAUACCAGGGGACCCACGGCACGAGUCUCUCGGCGUGACCGACGCACUUCCCUCCGCACUGCGGACGCCGCAACCGGUUCGGUCGAGGCGAGAGUCGGCCAGGAGGUCGGGCGAUGGCAGUUGGCCGGGGCGGCUCGGGCGUUCGCGCCUCGAGUCCGCACCCGGUUGUUAGCCGGUCCCGUCCGUGGCUCGACACCGGACCGAGGGCAGUUCCCCGACGGGGACGAAUCUCGAUAAGCCCCCUCGCCAGAAGCGGGAUUACCGACAGGCGUUUCUGCGGCGCCGGUAUUUGCCGAGUCACCCGCGGUGGUGACCGGCGCGUCGCGGGCGUCGAUGGUCGGCCCUUCCCCGCUGGGGCGAUCGAGGUUGGCGGCGAGUAGGUCGGUAACCCACCCGACCCGUCUUGAAACACGGACCAAGGAGUCUAACAUGUGCGCGAGUCACGGGGACUUGAAUAGGCCCGGAGGCGCAAUGAAAGUGAAGCCGUGAGGCUGUGUCGGGAUCCCCGCACGGGGAGCACCGACGACCCGCCCCGUAUACCGGUAUCCCACCGGUGGGGCGGAGUCUGAGCGUACACGUUGGGACCCGAAAGAUGGUGAACUAUGCCUGGGCAGGACGAAGCCAGAGGAAACUCUGGUGGAGGUCCGAGCGGU